UACGGAGGGGGCUAGCGUUGUUCGGAAUUACUGGGCGUAAAGCGCGCGUAGGCGGACCUGCAAGUCGGGGGUGAAAGCCCAAGGCUCAACCUCGGAACUGCCUUCGAUACUGCGGGGUCUCGAGUCCGGGAGAGGUGAGUGGAAUUCCUAGUGUAGAGGUGAAAUUCGUAGAUAUUAGGAAGAACACCAGUGGCGAAGGCGGCUCACUGGCCCGGUACUGACGCUGAGGCGCGAAAGCGUGGGGAGCAAACAGG
rnacentral:rRNA from 1 species